UGAGCAAUCUGCCCUUCUCUUUGGAAUAAGCGUUGGAAACGACGUCUAAUGCCGAAUACGACCUCCUUUCGCAUGAUCGGAGGUGGAAAGCUCCGGCGGAGAAGGAUGAGCUCGCGGCCUAUCAGCUAGUUGGUGUGGGUAAUGGCCCACCAAGGCGACGACGGGUAGCCGGCCUGAGAGGGUGACCGGCCACACUGGGACAGUGACACGGCCCAGACUCCUACGGGAGGNAGCG
rnacentral:rRNA from 1 species